GGAGGGGUUCCCGAGUGGCCAAAGGGAGCAGACUGUAAAUCUGCCGGCACUGCCUUCGAUGGUUCGAAUCCGUCUCCCUCCN
rnacentral:tRNA from 1 species